rnacentral:rRNA from 1 species
UACGGAGGGUGCAAGCGUUAUCCGGAUUCACUGGGUUUAAAGGGUGCGUAGGCGGAUAGGUAAGUCCGUGGUGAAAUCCUGCAGCUUAACUGCAGAACUGCCGUGGAUACUAUCUAUCUUGAAUAUCGUGGAGGUUAGCGGAAUAUGUCAUGUAGCGGUGAAAUGCUUAGAUAUGACAUAGAACACCCAUUGCGAAGGCAGCUCACUACACAAUUAUUGACGCUGAGGCACGAAAGCGUGGGGAUCGAACAGG